GGCCAACAAAAGCGACCACACACUCCCGCUCUGCACCGGCACCCAACCCGCGCACACACACCGCGGGCGCCACGGCCAACGACGCGGGGCGACGCGCACACACCCACACUCACCACACACCCACGGAGGGGGUGUGGAGGGCCCCUCUCCCCGGGCAUCUCGGCUGCAGCGCGACAAGGUGACACAUCCGGAAGCCCUGCCGCGCGCCAGGUGUGCACUCACCGGGGCCCGCAGCCCGCGAGCCUUGGACGCGGGCCGCCGCCGCCGCCGCCGCCUCAGGCCCUCCACGUCAGCCAGCGGGCGGGCAGGAGCGGCCGGCGGCGCAGGCGGCAGACGCGUCACGUGAGCCGCAAUGCACUUGCGCCGUCGUGCCGCCCCGCCCCCAGCGGCGGAGAGCUGACCGAUCCCUCCCGCCCCCGCGCUCGCGCGUUCCUGUCGGACGAGGGUCGCAGUGCGCCUGCGCCCGGGCAGGGGUUGCCUUGGCGACUCGGCCUUUCUUGGUUUUCCUUCUCUCGCCCCACUGCGGCUCCCUGGUCCGCGCCUGCGCAGAGGACUCGGCACGGAGGUGGCCGAACUGUGGGGAGCGGCCGGAGUGGGCGUAUGGAAGACCCAAGGUCGAGGGGCAACCCCAGUCCCCGGGCUCGAAUGAGAAACAGACCCCGCGAGAGGGCAGGUCCGGGUCCCGGGCGCCGAGGCCCAGGCCUGAGGAGGCCGCACGGGCCUUCUGUCCCUGCUUGCCCUUCCCUUUUCGCACGGAGGCGAAACCUGCAGAGCUGGAGUGGCGUCAGUCCCUCCCCUGCUCCCUCCUUGCCUCUCCCCACCUUACACUGCGGGAGGUGCGCGCUGUGGCGCGUGUGCUUGUGUGCGUGUGCAUGUGAGGUUUGGGGGCUGGUUGCGCCUACAGGCGAGGUAUGGGUGCUUGUGUGCACGUGUGCAAGCAGGUGUGUGUUAGAGGUCUGCGUGCAGGUUGCCCGUUGGCAGUGGUUUAGGCUGGGAAAAGAAGUGCGGAGAGGCUGUGCCCAUAGCAAAGCGGUGAGGUUAUAA
rnacentral:lncRNA from 1 species